UCUUAUUGGACUAACUCGA
rnacentral:snRNA from 1 species